rnacentral:rRNA from 1 species
AGUCGAGCGGACAGAUGGGAGCUUGCUCCCUGAUGUUAGCGGCGGACGGGUGAGUAACACGUGGGUAACCUGCCUGUAAGACUGGGAUAACUCCGGGAAACCGGGGCUAAUACCGGAUGCUUGUUUGAACCGCAUGGUUCAAACAUAAAAGGUGGCUUCGGCUACCACUUACAGAUGGACCCGCGGCGCAUUAGCUAGUUGGUGAGGUAAUGGCUCACCAAGGCAACGAUGCGUAGCCGACCUGAGAGGGUGAUCGGCCACACUGGGACUGAGACACGGCCCAGACUCCUACGGGAGGCAGCAGUAGGGAAUCUUCCGCAAUGGACGAAAGUCUGACGGAGCAACGCCGCGUGAGUGAUGAAGGUUUUCGGAUCGUAAAGCUCUGUUGUUAGGGAAGAACAAGUACCGUUCGAAUAGGGCGGUACCUUGACGGUACCUAACCAGAAAGCCACGGCUAACUACGUGCCAGCAGCCGCGGUAAUACGUAGGUGGCAAGCGUUGUCCGGAAUUAUUGGGCGUAAAGGGCUCGCAGGCGGUUCCUUAAGUCUGAUGUGAA